CAAAAAUGAAAAGGCUUACCGACUACUGCUUAUAAUGAAAUAAAUACACAACAUACAAAGAGUGAAAUGAGCAUAUAUUCCAUAUGAUUACAAUGACAAAUAAAACUUAUUCAUCAGUCAUCACCAAAUGAGCAUAAUCACAUAAAUAAAUGGUCGGAAAUUGUUUUUAAAUUGAAAAGGAAGACUGGGAGGGGCCACGAUCACUGCCAGCUGUUGGGAAUGAUUAAAUUCACCCAUUCAUUCAUUGAUGAAGGUGAAAGCUCAAAGAAACUGAAUGACCAAUGUCUCUCCAUUAUGACACACGUAAUGUCUCAUCUCUCACGCAUCAACCCACACUCUGACACUUUUUUAAUCCCCGCAAAUAGAACCUUACCCACCUAAUCCAGCACUUUGUUAUUAACUUGCAUUUUGAAAAUAAAAUUGAAAGACACCCGUCGUGACCUUUCAUCUAGGCAGAGUAUUUCGACAAAGCAAUACGCACAAUCCACAAAGCAAAGUAUUGGGGUUUGAGUAGUUUAUUCCAGGGCGAGAAAUGCAUUCAAAAUAUAACGGAGAGAAGGCAAAGAUGGGACCAUUUGCAGGUCUAGAGCAAGCGCGACACAGUCAGAAGAUACUAACCUCGUUGUCGCCGUGGAGACGGUUGUGAGUGAGAGCGACAAUGAGAGUCAAACCAAGAGCAAGAGCGAGAGGAAGCGCCGCCGCGGAGAGUGAGAGCGAGAGGAAGCAUUGCCGUAGAGAGUGAGAGCGAAAGUGGGAGCGAGAGGAAGCGCCGCCGCAGAGGAUGAGAGCGUGAGAGUGUGACUGAGUGUAAGAGUAGGCGCGAGAAGAAGGGGAAAAUGAUUAUAUACGAAAAACACAACAUAGAUUUCUUAGAAAACAUGGUAACGAACUCAUAUUAUUUAUAAGUAUACCACCCUAUUUUUGUUAACAC
rnacentral:lncRNA from 1 species